rnacentral:lncRNA from 1 species
CAGCUAUUGGUACUGGAGGUGAUGAUUUUGUGCAUUCUAUGGUUGUUGCUGUAGAGUCAGUGAUACAACAGCCUGUUCCCGAGGUAAGGGGAAUUAGAUAAUAUACCCAACUCAAUGUGCCUCUAUUUAAAAUUUAAUGACUGUAGUGGCAGCUCAAAUUUAAGUAUGAGGUUUCAAAAUUUCUGGAGGAUUACAAUACUCAACUCAGUGUGCCUCUAUUCAAAAUUUAGUGACUAUAGUGGCAGCUCAAAUUUAAGUAUAUGAGGUUUCAAAAAUUUUGGAGGAGUACAUGCCUAAUCUUUUUGGGAUUAGUUCGAUCUAUGUUAUUUGUUUUUGGCCAUUCUAUGUAUAAAUUUGUGUAUUGAGAGGAUUAUUGUCGUUUAUGCUAGAGAUGUUAAACUGUUGGUCGUGCUUGCCCUCUAUAUGAUAUUGGGCUGAAGAUGAAUCAAUUUAUGAACCAACUACAAUUAUGUGAAUUAAAGCAGCUUCUCUUUGUUCUUG